rnacentral:rRNA from 1 species
UUGUGACGCCAGUCGCAUCGCCGGGUAGCUAUGUUCGGAAGGGAUAACCGCUGAAAGCAUCUAAGCGGGAAGCCUACCUCAAGAUAAGAUUUCCCUAGGACUUUAUGUCCUCUAAAGAGCCGUUCGAGACUAGGACGUUGAUAGGUUGGAUGUGGAAGCAUAGUGAUAUGUGAAGCUGACCAAUACUAAUUGCUCGUGAGGCUUGACUAUACAACACCCAAGCAGUUG